GACGAACGCUGGCGGCGUGCUUAACACAUGCAAGUCGAGCGGUAAGGCCCUUUCGGGGGUACGCGAGCGGCGAACGGGUGAGUAACACGUGGGUGACCUGCCCUCAGCUCUGGGAUAAGCCUGGGAAACCGGGUCUAAUACUGGAUAUGACUCCAUGACGCAUGUUGUGGGGUGGAAAGCCUUGUGCGGCUGAGGAUGGGCCCGCGGCCUAUCAGCUUGUUGGUGGGGUGANGGCCUACCAAGGCGACGACGGGUAGCCGGCCUGAGAGGGCGACCGGCCACACUGGGACUGAGACACGGCCCAGACUCCUACGGGAGGCAGCAGUGGGGAAUAUUGGACAAUGGGCGCAAGCCUGAUCCAGCGAUGCCGCGUGUGUGAAGAAGGCCUGCGGGGUUGUAAAGCACUUUCAGUAGGAAGAAAGCCGAGUGCUAAUAUCACUCGGUCUUGACGUUACUUACAGAAGAAG
rnacentral:rRNA from 1 species